rnacentral:SRP_RNA from 1 species
GUCGAGCUUAGUAACGUGGGCUUGUAACCCGGCAUUAAGGUGGUAGAAUAUUGGGCUUAACCAAAUGGUUGGGCUUGAUGGGCUUAUUUCUGGCCUGCCCUAUCCAAGCACAGUGUUGGAUAAUGAGGCCCAAAUGUAAGUAUGGGCUUCUUGAUUCCUAAAGUGGGGCGGAUCGCACGAGGCUGGCUUCAUAGAGCAGUAAACAGCUCCCGCUCUGUGUAGUGGAAGGAUAACGAGUCGGUGUCUAUCAAGUCCAGUAAAAGCUUGACGGAUUGCUCCAAAUAAACCUCCACCUUU